GACGAACGCUGGCGGCGUGCUUAACACAUGCAAGUCGAACGGAAAGGCCCUGCUUUUGUGGGGUGCUCGAGUGGCGAACGGGUGAGUAACACGUGAGUAACCUGCCCUUGACUUUGGGAUAACUUCAGGAAACUGGGGCUAAUACCGGAUAGGAGCUCCUGCUGCAUGGUGGGGGUUGGAGAGUUUCGGCGGUGGGGGAUGGACUCGCGGCUUAUCAGCUUGUUGGUGGGGUAGUGGCUUACCAAGGCUUUGACGGGUAGCCGGCCUGAGAGGGUGACCGGCCACAUUGGGACUGAGAUACGGCCCAGACUCCUACGGGAGGCAGCAGUGGGGAAUAUUGCACAAUGGGCGGAAGCCUGAUGCAGCAACGCCGCGUGCGGGAUGACGGCCUUCGGGUUGUAAACCGCUUUCGCCUGUGACGAAGCGUGAGUGACGGUAAUGGGUAAAGAAGCACCGGCUAACUACGUG
rnacentral:rRNA from 1 species